rnacentral:rRNA from 1 species
CGCCUCUUGAAUUUAUAUAAGAGGUCCAGCCUGCCCAGUGACCCUGUUCAACGGCCGCGGUAUCCUAACCGUGCGAAGGUAGCGUAAUCACUUGUUCUCUAAAUGUGGACUAGUAUGAAUGGCAUCACGAAGGUUAUACUGUCUCCUUUUUCUAAUCAGUGAAACUAAUCUCCCCGUGAAGAAGCGGGGAUAAUACUAUAAGACGAGAAGACCCUAUGGAGCUUUAAACAGUACAGCAUCUGCCCCAUAACACUAAAAUUUCUGAAUAAAAACUUCAUUGGACAGUAUGACUGCGAGUUUUUGGUUGGGGUGACCACGGAGCAUAAUACAACCUCCGUGCUGAAAGAAAAUUUCUAAGCCAAGGUCUACAAACCUAAGCAUCAACACAUUGACAUCCAUUGACCCAAUACACUUGAACAACGAACCAAGUUACCCUAGGGAUAACAGCGCAAUCCACUUCAAAAGCUCCUAUCGACAAGUGGGUUUACGACCUCGAUGUUGGAUCAGGGUCUCCCAGUGGUGCAGCCGCUACUAAAGGUUCGUUUGUUCAACGAUUAAAACCCU